AAAAGAGUAAAAGACGAAUAUUAAGAUUAUAAAGAAAAUGAAACUUUUUGGAAACGUAUUUGGCUGCACAAAGAAUAAAGCAACAAAUAAAAUUUUAAAAAUGUGGUCGUCGUAAACUGUGAUGUCGUGGCUAAUAAUCACUCGACACUGCUGGUUGGCAUGAAAAUAAAACUUAGAAUACAAAUGCAAUGAUUAUGGGUACUUUUAGUUAAACCUGUUUUCAAUUUGUGAAAUGUUGGUGUCUGACCAGCAUUUAUAACAUUUGAGGCCUGAGCCUGCCAUCGUAACAAGAUAGGCCAGUUUUGCAUGCUGCUAUUGACCAGUCAUCAACAUCAAUCUCAGUAUCAUUACCAGGAUAAACAGCAUCCCUCUUGAUUGAAGAAACUAUCGAUAUGUCGAUCGAGUUCCGGAUCUCUUUUUCCCCUUUCUUUCAAUGUCCUCGUGUUCACCCAUGUGAGUGUGGGUGUAUUCACGAGGACGCCUUUUUCCUAUUCCGCCUGGUGGAUUGAACUUAUUUCUGCGGAUGGAGCACUCGUGGAUGCAUGUGGCCGUAUU